CGGGAACGAGUGUCAAGAGAAAGAUGGAACAAUAAAGGACUUAACUUCAUUUCUUCAAUCGACCACCAAAGCUAGUUCAAAACGAGAAACGGAGCUUGAAGUGAUUAUUCUCAGGAAGAAGACAAUAAUUAAGAAGCUCAAGAGAGAGGUGCUGGUGUUAGAAGAAAAGGUCACACAGCUCACUAUGCUCCGGAGGUCCUCCUAUUCAGCUACAGUCUCAAAUACCCAUGAAUUCCCAAUGAGAAUGGACAAUCUUCUUUAUGAUAUGGAUCUUCUUACAACCUUUUCAUCCUCUGAUUCGGAAGCUACUGUAGACACACCCCAGCGUGCUUUACCAAAGGCUCCAGUUGAUUUCAUGAGGGAGGAACUCUCAGCUGUAGGACUAAACCAUAACUCAGCGCCAGCUAAAUCCUCGACAUAACUUGUGAAAUCUGUAAAGCCGCCUUCGGCUGAGACAGGGUUCCUCUACUGGUGAUUCAAAGAAACCUAGAAAGCCAAUUCAGACCACUGCAAGAGAUUCCUCUGGUUCGCUUUAGAGAUGGGUUUAGUAAGUAUUGGUCUGCUGGUAAGUAUCAGUACCAGUUCUGAGAAAAAAGCCAUUGAAUAGAACCUGUUUAAAAUACGUCUGAAGUGCUGAACCAGAACCAGCUGUGUAGGUGCUUCAGAAUCUAAAGUUAUAUUGUAGCUAUAAGUAUCAAGUUAUUUGUUUUGAGAAUCUUGACUUCGUAUCAAAAGCUCUCAGUUGGGUUUAAUUGAGUUUUCUAAUCUUGAUAUCUAUAUGAAAUAUGGUUGACUCUCUCUCAGCUCUUUCAUCUUAUUUGUGUGUGAUAUCAAAGUACUUUACACAGUGAGAGUUGUUUAGAGAUGCAUAGGUCAGAGAUAUG